CUCUCUCUCUCUCUCUCUACUUCUGGUUUGUUUUCUUUAAUUUCCCUUCAAUUUCCCUUCGAAGCUGCCCCCUACGACCAUCUCCACUCACCAAAAUUUGCUUCUUCUUCCCUUCAUCCACGGACACUUGUCUGUGCGCUAGCCCCUUCGGUCAAACUUCAGUGUCACCGAAGCUCUUUGUUGACCACUCCAUCUCCACCGAGCGCUAGCUGCCCAUGUCCGAAGCUGCUGCCGUUCGGCCAUCUCCUCCAAGUUUGUCUGCCGUUCGAAGCCCAGCCAACUCUCAGCUUCGCAUGCCGCGCUCCACUUGGUCAACAUCUACAUGAAUUCUCCAUUUCAGCUGCAGAGAUCCGAGCAGAAACCGUGGGCUUCCUUGGGCCAAUUUUCGGGCUCAAUCCGAGCCCUGUUGGCGUCGCCGCUUUGAGACUUAUCGAUCAUCAUCGCGUCCCCAUCGUUUUGGUCCGAGCGGGAUCGCAAAUCAAGUCCUUAGAUGGUGCAUGGAGGAUCUAAGCCUGGAGGUGGAGUCUGAAGGAUCGGCGUCUAUGUCCUACUAAUAUGUUGUAGGAUAGCUUCUUUUGAGUGUCGAUCAUUUUGUUGGUUUUUAUCUAGACUCCUUUUGUAUAUAAACCCAAUUGUUUAUAAAAGUGUGCUUUUGUGAAA